rnacentral:rRNA from 1 species
AUACGGAGGGUGCAAGGGUUGUCCGGAUUUAUUGGGUUUAAAGGGUGCGUAGGUGGUUUUUUAAGUCAGUGGUGAAAGCCUACAGCUUAACUGUAGAGGUGCCAUUGAAACUGGAAGACUCGAGUAUGGACGAGGUAGGCGGAAUUUGUGGUGUAGCGGUGAAAUGCAUAGAUACCACAAAGAACACCGAUAGCGAAGGCAGCUUACUAGGCCAUAACUGACACUGAGGCACGAAAGUGUGGGGAGCGAACAGGAUUAGAAACCCUAGUAGUCC